rnacentral:rRNA from 1 species
UGUGAAGUUACUUAAACAACCAGGAGGUUGGCUUAGAAGCAGCCAUCCUUUAAAGAAAGCGUAAUAGCUCACUGGUCUAGUGAUUUUGCGCGGAAAAUAUAACGGGGCUAAAGUAAGUACCGAAGCUGUAGACUUAGUUUACUAAGUGGUAGGAGAGCGUUCUAUUUGCGUCGAAGGUAUACCGGUAAGGAGUGCUGGAGCGAAUAGAAGUGAGCAUGCAGGCAUGAGUAGCGAUAAUUAAUGUGAGAAUCAUUAACGCCGUAAACCCAAGGUUUCCUACGCGAUGCUCGUCAUCGUAGGGUUAGUCGGGUCCUAAGUCGAGUCCGAAAGGGGUAGACGAUGGCAAAUUGGUUAAUAUUCCAAUACCAACAUUAGUGUGCGAUGGAAGGACGCUUAGGGCUAAGGGGGCUAGCGGAUGGAAGUGCUAGUCUAAGGUCGUAGGAGGUUAUACAGGCAAAUCCGUAUAACAAUACUCCGAGAACUGAAAGGCUUUUUGAAGUCUUCGGAUGGAUAGAAGAACCCCUGAUGCCGUCGAGCCAAGAAAAGUUUCUAAGUUUAGCUAAUGUUGCCCGUACCGUAAACCGACACAGGUGGGUGGGAUGAGUAUUCUAAGGCGCGUGGAAGAACUCUCUUUAAGGAACUCUGCAAAAUAGCACCGUAUCUUCGGUAUAAGGUGUGGUUAGCUUUGUAUUAGGAUUUACUCCGAAAGCAAGGAAACUUACAACAAAGAGUCCCUCCCGACUGUUUACCAAAAACACAGCACUCUGCUAACUCGUAAGAGGAUGUAUAGGGUGUGACGCCUGCCCGGUGCUCGAAGGUUAAUUGAUGGGGUUAGCAUUAGCGAAGCUCUUGAUCGAAGCCCGAGUAAACGGCGGCCGUAACUAUAACGGUCCUAAGGUAGCGAAAUUCCUUGUCGGUUAAAUACCGACCUGCAUGAAUGGCGUAACGAGAUGGGAGCUGUCUCAAAGAGGGAUCCAGUGAAAUUGUAGUGGAGGUGAAAAUUCCUCCUACCCGCGGCAAGACGGAAAGACCCCGUGGACCUUUACUACAGCUUGACACUGCUACUUGGAUAAGAAUGUGCAGGAUAGGUGGGAGGCUUUGAGUAUAUGACGCCAGUUGUAUAUGAGCCAUUGUUGAGAUACCACUCUUUCUUAUUUGGGUAGCUAACCAGCUUGAGUUAUCCUCAAGUGGGACAAUGUCUGGUGGGUAGUUUGACUGGGGCGGUCGCCUCCCAAAUAAUAACGGAGGCUUACAAAGGUUGGCUCAGAACGGUUGGAAAUCGUUCGUAGAGUAUAAAGGUAUAAGCCAGCUUAACUGCAAGACAUACAAGUCAAGCAGAGACGAAAGUCGGUCUUAGUGAUCCGGUGGUUCUGUGUGGAAGGGCCAUCGCUCAAAGGAUAAAAGGUACCCCGGGGAUAACAGGCUGAUCUCCCCCAAGAGCUCACAUCGACGGGGAGGUUUGGCACCUCGAUGUCGGCUCAUCGCAUCCUGGGGCUGGAGCAGGUCCCAAGGGUAUGGCUGUUCGCCAUUUAAAGCGGUACGCGAGCUGGGUUCAGAACGUCGUGAGACAGUUCGGUCCCUAUCUGCCGUGGGCGUAAGAAGAUUGAAGAGAUUUGACCCUAGUACGAGAGGACCGGGUUGAACAAACCACUGGUGUAGCUGUUGUUCUGCCAAGAGCAUCGCAGCGUAGCUAAGUUUGGAAAGGAUAAACGCUGAAAGCAUCUAAGCGUGAAGCCAACUCUAAGAUGAAUCUUCUCUAAGCUCUCUAGAAGACUACUAGUUUGAUAGGCUGGGUGUGUAAUGGAUGAAAGUCCUUUAGCUGACCAGUACUAAUAGAGCGUUUGGCUUAUCUUU